GCCCGAAGUUAAAGCCCAAGCUUUGGAGUCCCACUACCAGGGAGGUUUCCAGUCACAGAGCGCGCAGCGAGCUCCGAGUGCCUGCGGCGGCGUAUCUAAAAUAAACUUGUUUAAAUGCCA